UUAAUUUAGGCAAGAUGGUUUAAGGUUUUAAAACCCUGGGUGGCCACAUAAACCAUUGUUAAACACCACCAUCAAACAACAUGUCACACACCUUUUCCAUCUUCUCCCUCUGUUUCUCUAAAAUCGUUGGUUGAUCAUCCUCUCACCCAUCUUCACCACAUCGAACCUACCUAAAUCGAAGCCAAUCAAUUAGUUCUCCCAAAAUCGGAAGAUGAAAAUAGAUUUGGAUUUAUACUGAGAACAAAUCUAACUUUGUAGAGUCUAAAGGAAUUGAAAGAGAUGGAGCAAAUAACUCCUUGAGUCAACACUAUUACUGCUAAAACUCCCAAAUGUCUGCAACAAUUACUCAAUGGAACCGUAAGCUUUGAAGGACGUUUUCUCUUUGCUUGAGUAAGUUUUCCUUUUUAUCAUGUAAUUUAUUCUUAAACAUACAGUUUAACACUUCUGAUAUUGAAUUUAGUGUAAAACUUGGGCAAAAUCUAUAGUUAGAAGAACUAAUUGUUCGCAUGGGAAGUAAUCUUUUACAUCUCUCAAUAAAGUAUCUUUCAUGGAUAGUUUAUAUGUAAUUGCUUUUAUUCGUUCAUUCACUGAUAUGUAUCUAUUUUGUGGAUUUUUUUCUUUUUCUUUUUGUGAUGAAUUAUGUGCUUCUGUUCGUCUGUUUUAAAUUAAUGUGUAUAUAAAAGUUAUGAUGAUAUUAGUUAGUAAUAUUCAUUGAUUUUCUUUAUUCACAAUUUGAUGAAAUUAGUUAAUAAUCUUUCUUUAUUCACAAUUUGAUGAAAUUAGUUAAUAAUCUUCACUUAUUUUAUUUAUGAACAAUUUGGCAAUUCGUAAUUUAUAUGUGAUGAAUGAUCAAUAGUGUAAUUUGGAAUUUCUAUAUUGUUUAUAUAUGUAGAAAUUAUAAAACCGAUUAUCUAGAGCUAAAGUUUAUAAUACUUUUUUCCUUUAUAUAUAUGAACAAUUUUUAAUACCUUUUAUGUUUAUACGACAACCAUUAUUGGCAUUGAUCACUGUUAUAUUUUCCAUUGACGAUUGACAAUUAAGUUUAUAAAGUUUGAAGUUUAUAUUCAGGUGAUAAUCAGUGGUUAAUUAUUCGUAUAGGUAUAAUUUAGCUUUCUAAUCGUUUUUUCAUUGUAGUCUUGGCAAAAAAAAUAUAUAAUGCAGGUUGAACUUCUGUAAAAUAUUGGAUUUCAACUAGAAUUUGUUUCGCAUUUUUACGGAAUAUGAAAUCAAUAAUACGAAAUCAAAAACACAUGUUUUAUGACUCAUAGUUAUUCAUCAUCUUUUAGAUUGUUUGACCUUUUAUUAUAAUUUUUUUCAAACCUUUAUACAAGAUGUUCAGUAUAGUUUAUCUUUCAAAAUAAUAGGUAAUUAAAUUGCUACCACUUGCUCAUUAAGUAAAAUGAUUUUCAUGGAUGAUAUGCACUAUAUAUCAAUUUAUGACAGAACCAAUGCUACCUUUUUUUUCUUUUUUUUCUAAAUUUGAGCAUAUGGUCGGUUCUUCUUUUGUUUUUUUUUUCGUCAAAGAUCAAUUCCUACAGUAAUAUAAUUGGACUUUGAUCCGCUGGAUCCAUUUUAAAAUAUAAUAGUCAAAAUGGGAUGUCAUCUCAUGGACCUCAAAUGAUUAUGUAGUUAGUUUCACACCAAAUUCAAUAUUUAAUUUGUUCUUCUCAUAAACAUUAUGUAGUUUUAAUUUAGCUUUUUUAAAUCGUUUCACCUGGUGGAUCUUUCUUUUCAGCUUUGAUUAUCUAUUAUAUAUAAGUUAAAUAAUAGGUGUUUGUGGAAACGUCUAGAAGAAAAAUUGACCAUGUGGUAUGAGAAACAUCAAAAAAUAUGGUCCCAAAAAUUUCGUUUUAUAAUAGGUAAAAAUAUUGUUUUCAAACAUCAUUCGUACAUCUCAUAAAAACAAUGUAUCCAAUGUAUCAAAAUCAGAGUAAAUAUAAAACGCGGAAUCUCUGUGGUAUGUGCGAUGCGGUCUGCCCGAGCUCUUCCCCUUGGAACCGGAAGUACCUGACACAUAAACAGAAAACCGUAAGCACAAAGCUUAGUAAAUUUCCCCAAGAUACCAUAUACCAUCAUAUCACAUAACGGGCCCUGCCCAUACUCAUAAAACGUGCCCCGCCCAAUGAGAUAUAGGCCUCGCCCACAUUCGCAAUACGGACCCCGCCGAAAGAGAUACAUGCCCUGCCCACACUCGCAAUACGGUCCCUGCCUAAUAAGCAUACAUAUAAGCACAUACAAUUAUUACACAGUCAACGAGUAUAUCGACAUAAUCAACAAGGGUCGGCAUUGGUGCCUUAGAUCCGCUAAACCUGGUGAGGAAAACUCACCUCAAAUAUGGAAUGAUAGCUGAACAGAUCCCGACUCCAAAUAUCAACUCUAAUCAACCCCUAAACAGAAAAGAUUUCCUUAAAUACAACUCAAAAUGCCCAAAAGCCCCUUAUAGGUCAACCUUGGUCAAAGUGUAAGUCAACGGCCCGAGUUGACCCAACUCGCCGAGUUGUCCUUCAACUCGCCGAGUUUCACCAUUAGUCUGCAAAGUCGGGAAGAAACUGAUCCAACUCGUCGAGUUCAUUUGUAAACUCAUCGAGUUCGCCAGAAAUCCAACAUCUUAAUUCAUUAAGUCGACCUUACCGAAACUAAGAGCUUCACAACUCAGAUCUAUAACUGAAAUAGCCUCAAGAAGGGUAAAGUUUCCAACUUUACACCUAAGAACCACCAAAAUGGGUUCAAAACCCAAACCCUAGGAUUAAAAGGGUGAUGGCUUAAUCAUUAAGCACUUAAUCACCAAAUGCAUAACCCCAAACUACAGAUCUAACCCUAAAACCUGAAAGGCUAUGUAAAGUUUCCAACUUUACACUCAUGCAUGACUAGCAGAGGCUCAAAUGCUCAAAAGAGGCCGAAAUAAGGACUUAAUGAAAGCAUGAAGCCCUUAAGACCAUAAAGUUGGCACCUUAAUGCCAAAAGAGCUCAUCAACAUCUUAGAUCUGAAAGGAUAACAUUUGGGAUGUCCUACACCCCCAUCAUCCACCUAUAACAUCCCAUCUUUCAAGUGACUUCAAAAUCAACCCUUGGAUUUUAAUUACGUCAUUUUUGGUCCUUGGUUUGGAAAGAAGUGACAAAGGGAGGACCUAGUGGCAAAAUGGUGAUGUUGGGAACUUGAGUAGUAUGUUGGGCGUAUAUGUGAGUACGCUAAGUGUCUUAGGGCGUGCCCUAGUACGCUGGUUGUACACAUAUGUAUGUUGGGCGUACAAGUGCCAGGGUGAAACCCUAACUUUUAGGGUUUGUUGAGUAUUUAAGCAUCUUAUGGAUCGUUUCCUCUCAUCUUUUCUAGCCUCCAAGUCUUUGAACCGUUCUUAGCAAGCCCUAGUACAUAAGAGAGAGUUUUGGAGCCUAAAGUGUGUUGUUGGUGUGAGUGAAUGAGAAGAAAGAGCAUCAAGGAGUCAAGGAAUGAAUCAAGCUUGUAGAUAUGGGGUUAUCACCAUCUUGGAAAGCUUUAGAAGGUAUAAAGCUUCUACCUUUAUGCUUGAUUGUGUAGAUUUUGGUUUUAUUACUUUUUAGCAUUCUUCUUGUCCCAAGAGUCCCAAUAUUGUGCAUGCUUUGUUUUGGGCAAGUUAAGUUGUUCUUUCAGACCCAAGGAUGGGGCCUAAGGCAUAAAAAUGAGGUCCCUUGAGCUAGUUUGGUCCCUAGUUCUUUGUAGGAGGUCUUAAUGGAUUAAGACCAUGUAUUAAGCCCUUUUUGGUCGAACAAAGUCUUAAAGUUUGAGACUUUAUGGUUAUAGAGUGUUAUUGAAUCAUGAAUUUGAAGUUUGAGCUCAAGUGCUUAAUCCAUUAAGCACUUAUGGAAGUUAUAAGACAUGCGAGGGUACGCCUCACGUAAGUUGUUGUACGCCUUACGUUCGGAGUCAAACCCCCAUAAUGGGUCAAUGCGAGGUGAGGUACGCCCAACGUACCGAAGGGUACUCCCCACGUACGCCUCCUGUUGGGCUUCGGACUGUGGGCUUCUAGUAUUGGGCCAUCUGUUGGACUUUGAUACUUAGGACCUAAAGGUUUAUCAGGAUGGGUGUGUCUUGGGCCAAGUAGAGGAUCGGACCUUUGGAUAAGGCCCAAUAAGGAGUUGGGACCAAUUUGGAAAAUUAGGCCAAGUGUGGGCUUGAAGUGGUUUGGGCCUUUGGAUCAAGAUUUGGGUUUCGCUUGCAUUGGUUUGUGAUGGACCAUCUGGGAUUUUAUGGUUUGGGCUUUUAGCUUGUUGGAUCUUCUUGAGUGAAGGCCAUAAGGCCUAAUUUGGAAAAUUGGGCCAUAAUUGGACUUAAGGAGUUUAUUUUGAUAUUGGACCUUUUGUCAUCUAGUUUGGGCCUUGGCUUUGGGCCAAGCUUGAGGAAUAGUAAAAAGGUAUUUUACCCUGAUUUGGACUCAUUGUAUGAGUUAGCAACUAGAUAUUGAUGAUUGUCAUUUUGGUAUCUGCUAGCGGAUCUGCAGUUAGAGACUAUUCACAUAAUCAUCUAUUAUUGUGGUGCUCUCUCGAUGAUGAUGGUUCAGAAUCUGGCAGUCAGCGGUCAGGGAUCGUCUGUGUGUUUUGGAAGCGCGAUGGGAGUUUUUCUCACAGUACUAACAGGGUCCAAGGCACCAAUGUCAGCCAUUUGGAUUGUUAUCUUGGUUUAUCGUAUGCUUGUAUGUUGUGGUGAUGUGUUAGGUCGGUAUCCUUCUGACAGGAUGAUGCUAUGCUUAGUGAUAUGUUAGAUAUGCCUUAGUAUGGUUGGGUUGAGACUGUAUUGCUUUGUACUGCCAGUCAACAAACCCGAAAAUGUUUAUGUUGGUACAUUAUAUGUAUGCUUAUCUGUUAUAUGUCGACAUGUCUUGUGUGUGUGGUUGGGUCGAGGCGGACCUACUUUGUGCUGAAGGCCAACAUACCUAGGGCGGCCCGGAUAGACUGAAGGCCCAUUGGGGCGUACCAGUCAGGCCGAAGGCCCGUAGAACGGUCCAGACAGGAUGAAGUCCUAGCAAGGCGGACUAGACGUGUUGAAGGUUCUGAGAGCAGCCCAGACAGGUUGAAGGCCCGGUAAGGUGGUCCAGAUAUGCUGAAGGAUUUGAUAGUGGUCCAGAUAGGUUGAAGGCCCGGUGAGGCGGUCCAGUCAUGCUGAAGACUCUAUAUGCAUGUUGUUAUUUGUAUGUGUGCUACUAUUUGUGUGUUCGUACUUUGGGGGAACUCACUAAGCUUUUUGCUUACGGUUUCAGUUUAUUGUUUCAGGUGCUUCAAAUGUUUUAACAAGGCGAAGGCGUGACCAUACACAUCCUCGCGUUUUGGACUUAUAGUUUCUGGGAAACUCUGAUGAUGUGCUUGUUUUGAAAACUACGUAUAAAUGAUUUCGGUUUUAAAUAAAUGUUUUGGAAACCACGGUUUUGUAAACACUUCUAUAGAAAAAGGAUUGUUUUGGAAAGUUUAAAUUUUAUCGACCCUUGGUUUGAGUGAAUUGGAGGAACACUCGUGUGAAUCCAGUCUCAAACCAAGGAAAAAGGGUUCUCAAAAAAAAUUUCAAAUGGUUUUCAAAAUAAUCAAAGAGGAUGCGAUGUGUGCGAUCAGUCGGAGCCAGUAAGUAGACCCCAAUUAUCACACAAUUAUUUGAGCUUAUGAUAUGUUAGAACAGCAUGCCAGCAAUAGGCUAGGGAUCUUCAGGAAUUGCAUGGUAGAAUUUCCUGAUUAUGUGAUGCCUUAGUUCAUUUAGAGUUUUCUUGUUUGGAUUAUCUAUGACUCUUUCGCGUGUGAAUUGGCUACUGAGUGGAUACACUAAGUCACAUGUCGCAUGGUUUAAAGUAUCUUAGGCUAAGAGGUUU
rnacentral:lncRNA from 1 species